rnacentral:rRNA from 1 species
AGUGAACGCUGGCGGUAGGCCUAACACAUGCAAGUCGAACGGCAGCACAGUAAGAGCUUGCUCUUACGGGUGGCGAGUGGCGGACGGGUGAGGAAUACAUCGGAAUCUACUUUUUCGUGGGGGAUAACGUAGGGAAACUUACGCUAAUACCGCAUACGACCUACGGGUGAAAGCAGGGGAUCUUCGGACCUUGCGCGAUUGAAUGAGCCGAUGUCGGAUUAGCUAGUUGGCGGGGUAAAGGCCCACCAAGGCAACGAUCCGUAGCUGGUCUGAGAGGAUGAUCGGCCACACUGGAACUGAGACACGGUCCAGACUCCUACGGGAGGCAGCAGUAGGGAAUCUUGCGCAAUGGGCGAAAGCCUGACGCAGCAAUGCCGCGUGAGUGAUGAAGGCCUUCGGAUUGUAAAGCCCUUUUGUUAGGAAAGAAAAAAUGCGGAAUAAACCACGCCCGUUCUGACGGUACCCAAAGAGUAAGCACCGGCUAACUUCGUG